UGUGGUGGAAAGAUUUAUCGGUGCAGGAUGGGCCCGCGGCCUAUCAGCUUGUUGGUGGGGUAAUGGCCUACCAAGGCGACGACGGGUAGCCGACCUGAGAGGGUGACCGGCCACACUGGGACUGAGACACGGCCCAGACUCCUACGGGAGGCAGCAGUGGGGAAUAUUGCACAAUGGGCGGAAGCCUGAUGCAGCGACGCCGCGUGAGGGAUGAAGGCCUUCGGGUUGUAAACCUCUUUCAGCAGGGACGAAGCGUGAGUGACGGUACCUGCAGAAGAAGCACCGGCUAACUACGUGCCAGCAGCCGCGGUAAUACGUAGGGUGCGAGCGUUGUCCGGAAUUACUGGGCGUAAAGAGUUCGUAGGCGGUUUGUCGCGUCGUUUGUGAAAACCCGGGGCUCAACUUCGGGCUUGCAGGCGAUACGGGCAGACUUGAGUGUUUCAGGGGAGACUGGAAUUCCUGGUGUAGCGGUGAAAUGCGCAGAUAUCAGGAGGAACACCGGUGGCGA
rnacentral:rRNA from 1 species